rnacentral:lncRNA from 1 species
GCCCAAUACACGAGAGGGGGACUAUAUAAGAAUCAAUGAAGCUGUCACUAUCACGAACCACCCCACGAUCUGGCAUAUUGGGUACAAUCGCAGAUAAAUACGGUAUAAGCACCACGCCUACACAAUAUCUAUCAUUUACCCAUGGAUCCGAUGGAUAAACGCUAUACGAUCCUAAGCAUGUAUAUAUAUCCAAUCUAACUAAGCCAAGUACAUAACUAUGAUAAACUAAGAACAAUAUAAUCUUGAAUAUAAGCAAGUAGAGCAAAGUCAUAAGCAAUAUAUUGAAGUAGAACAAAGUCAUAUUCAUAAUAUUGAAGAACAAAGAUAAUUAGAAAGCAAUU